rnacentral:lncRNA from 1 species
CGACCUCACCUCCGCUAUACUAAACAUCUCCCUCUCCGAAUUCCCCGUCAUUCCCUCAAGCGCAUGCCCGUAUAUCACGUACACCCUGUCCUCCGCUGCCACGGCCACCGAGGUCGGAAACCUCUCCACUUCAAGCUGCGUCUUGUCAAAAACCGCACCCUCUCCCCAGCUGUCUUGGCUCUUAAGAAACCACAUUUUAUUCAUGGAAACCACCACAACGGUCCCGUCUCGUCGGACAGCAAUCCCGUCGGCCAGAGGCAAGUCCUCCGGCAGCAGCACCUCCCUGGCGGUUCCGUCCUCCGCGUCCACCUUGAACAGCUUCCCGGUGUUGGAUUGCACCACCAGUAGAUACCCCUUGCUGACGUAAGCAAUGCCGUUGAGGCCGCAGAAGCUAAAGGGCGAGUCGGGGUCCACAGGAUGCGCAGAGAAUAGCGGGGACUUGGAGAGGACGGAGGCCGCGCCGUCGGAGUUGACUUUCCAGAUGAAGUUCGCCGCCGAGUUGGUGACGUAGGCGUUGCCCUUGAAAUCCACGGCGACGUCGUUGGCGAUCUGGCGGGAGGCGUCGCCGUCGGCGGAGGGGAGGGGCGUGAGGAAGAGGCGGCGGCGCGUACGGAGGUCGUAGGCGGCGAGGGCGCUGAAGUGAGGGAGCGGCGAGGAGGCUUGGACGGCGGCGAGGAGGCGGUUGUUGACGGCGUCGACGGCGAGGCCGAGGAAGGUGACGUUUUCGGGGAGAGUGGGGUCGGAGAUGAGAAGGUCGGUUACGCCGGCGUCGGAGACGGAGUAGAUGGUGCGUUGGCGGAUGGCGCCGACGAUGAAGUGCUGGGCUGAGGGGUCGUAGGCGAGGCCUUCGGGGUAGAGAUUUGGGGAUCGGAAAUUGAUGACGUGAGGCUUGCUUGCUUGGGUUUGGAUCGGGAUUGAGCUCAGCAAAAUGAAAACAACAAGGACGGAGGAGGCGAUUGAACAAGUCAUGGUGUUCGCAGCUCAGUAUCGGAGGCUCAUGAAGAGAUUUAUUAUUUAUAGAAAAGGGGGUUUUCUUGCCUAGGAAUCCACUCGCAGCCGGCCGGAGUUUUGACUUUGAUUUCUUGUCAAACGGAGAACGACGACUGGUUUCAGAAAGCUUAGAGAUCGUUUGAUUCGUUUUCCGAAACACAUGCUAAACAGCCCGUUAUUCAUACUGUCCAUCAGAAAAGCCCGGCCCACCUAGCGUAACGGUCCAAAUCCAAACCCGAAACCCAAGUUAGUAUCUCUGUCUAUAAUAUUAAUGAAAUUUGAAUCUGUAUCAUCUACGGUGUCAGUUAUUCUAAAUAAUUAAUUGGUCGUCAUUGCUAUUUUAAAUUGUAGUUCACUUCAAAACAACUUGGGCUAUAACAUUUUGCAACAUUCAGAGUAAGUAUUGUAUGAUCG